AAGCCACUAAACACUUCUCAUAUUUUCAUAUUAACAGCAGACCUAAUGAGACUGGAAUCUUUUCACUGACAAAGAGUGUGAUGGGAGAGUUUAAAGCAAGCAUGUCUCUGAGAAAUUUAAUUUCUAUAAAUUGAAUCAGCAAAAAAUGUCUGAAGGAAACAUAAUUGCAUCCAGGGUUUCUAUCAGUUUAAUGAGAGUCUAUUGUUAAUAUGUGCACCUGGCAAAUUUAAUUUCAGGGUUUGUUUAGGGGUUUUUUUUAAUUCUUUUUUUAAUCUAUUUUCAUGUGGUGACUGCAGAAUGAUGCGAUUUUGUCAUGGUAGCGUUUGCCCUUUGUCUUACAGUUUCACAGAAAAGAGGAACCAGACAGAGGACCUCUGUGGCAAAGGUAGUCCAAAACAAUCUUUAACCAAACAGCCCAUGGUCAUGCACAAGUAGGCAGUCAGGGAGGACAAACAAAUCAAGCAGGGAACAGGUGACAGGCAAAUUUCCGAUGGCAGACAAAGGUCAUACACAGGGAGAAAUCACCAGAGACACAAACAUUGAAUACUGCAAAACAUCUGAAAAGCUGCCUGGCGAAGAAAAUUGACAAGUGGUAGGUGAAGACAGGGGUAACGGGUGUAGUACAUUAAAAACAGGUGAUGUGAAGUGAAGUGCCAAAAACUACAUUACAGAAUUAAAAGCAUGUCUAACAGCCAGUUUGGUCUCUGUGGAUAACUUUUCCCCUCAUGACAAGAAUCUGUAAAUAUCAACACUUCACAACUGGAAUCCUUUAGGCCACACUUCUACUACUUCAAGUCCAUUACUUAAACCAGACCUUUCACUACGUAUGUGUGUUUGUGUCAAGAGUCAAAUUUUACAAUUUUAUUUUUCUGUCCCUUAGCACCAAAAAGUAGAUAUGUGCAUAUGUGUGUACGCACUCAUACAGUUUAUUUAAUGCAACUUGCCGAAUAACCUCAAAAGCAUUAGCUGACAACUUAACUCUCCACCCUUUCAUCCAUAUAUGGUAACUUCUGUCUCCACAAAAAAACAACAAAAAUGCAGAUUCCAAAACAAGUGUUAUAGGGUGAUAUCACAGAGUCUACAUCCCUCUUUGAUACUGUUUGUUUCAUUUCAUUUCCACUUUUUGUCCAGGACCAUGUACAAAAAAUAAAAAUAAAUAUAAAAAUAAAAAAAUAAUCUCCUAAGAGAAAAGAUGCAUUGUACCAGAUUAAGCUACUAGCUUAUUUCCAUAUGGAGUCCCUGGGCAUAGAAGCAGAUAAAGUAGAUAGAAGUACCGGUACAUAGAAAUAUAUCUUCAGAAAGCAUGUUAUAAUAUCAUAAGCUUAUGAGUGAAGUGCGAUUAAACAAGAACUAAGGAUUAGCAACUGAAAAACAUCUUGCCAAAACCACAAAGACCUUGGUUCCAGUUACUGUUUCUACCUAAACAGUAAUACAAUUUUGUUAAGUUGAACAUAUCUAUAUCAGUGCAUAUAGUAAGCAGUUAUCCACCCUAUUAUUCCAAGACUGUCACAUUCUGCACCACUGCACAUAUGUAUAUGUGUUAUAAAUGUUAUUGUGUGUUAUGCUGUUGUUGUCUGAUUGUCAAGUCUGUUUAGCACAUUGUGUGCAAAAAACAAAAUAGAGCCCACUUCCCUGUGUGUGCAUAUAUGUGUGGCCAGUAGAGCUGACUGAUUUUAAUCAGCAUAAGAUUUUGCUCUUGUUUGAUACCAACAAAGGUUCACAGUGUAUAUUUUGUGUAGCACAUGUCUAAAAUAGCAAACCCACUUUUAUGACUUGAAUCUCUUCACAAACUGAGUCGGGAUGCAGAGCCACAUUUCAGCCAUCAUUCACCCCAAAAACCUCA
ensembl:lncRNA